rnacentral:rRNA from 1 species
UACAGAGGGGGCAAGCGUUGUUCGGAAUUACUGGGCGUAAAGGGCGCGUAGGCGGCCUUCUCAGUCGAACGUGAAAUCCCCGGGCUCAACCCGGGAACUGCGUCCGAUACUGGAAGGCUUGAAUCCGGGAGAGGGAUGUGGAAUUCCAGGUGUAGCGGUGAAAUGCGUAGAUAUCUGGAGGAACACCGGUGGCGAAGGCGACAUCCUGGACCGGUAUUGACGCUGAGGCGCGAAAGCCAGGGGAGCAAACGGG